rnacentral:rRNA from 1 species
CGAACGCUGGCGGCGCGCCUAACACAUGCAAGUCGAACGAGCGAGAGAGAGCUUGCUUUCUCGAGCGAGUGGCGAACGGGUGAGUAACGCGUGAGGAACCUGCCUCAAAGAGGGGGACAACAGUUGGAAACGACUGCUAAUACCGCAUAAGCCCACGACCCGGCAUCGGGUUGAGGGAAAAGGAGUAAUCCGCUUUGAGAUGGCCUCGCGUCCGAUUAGCUAGUUGGUGAGGUAACGGCCCACCAAGGCGACGAUCGGUAGCCGGACUGAGAGGUUGAACGGCCACAUUGGGACUGAGACACGGCCCAGACUCCUACGGGAGGCAGCAGUGGGGAAUAUUGCACAAUGGGGGAAACCCUGAUGCAGCGACGCCGCGUGGAGGAAGAAGGUCUUCGGAUUGUAAACUCCUGUUGUUGGGGAAGAUAAUGACGGUACCCAACAAGGAAGUGACGGCUAACUACGUGCCAGCAGCCGCGGUAAAACGUAGGUCACAAGCGUUGUCCGGAAUUACUGGGUGUAAAGGGAGCGCAGGCGGGAAGACAAGUUGGAAGUGAAAUCCAUGGGCUUAACCCAUGAACUGCUUUCAAAACUGUUUUUCUUGAGUAGUGCAGAGGUAGGCGGAAUUCCCGGUGUAGCGGUGGAAUGCGUAGAUAUCGGGAGGAACACCAGUGGCGAAGGCGGCCUACUGGGCACCAACUGACGCUGAGGCUCGAAAGUGUGGGUAGCAAACAGGAUUAGAUACCCUGGUAGUCCACACCGUAAACGAUGAUUACUAGGUGUUGGAGGAUUGACCCUUCAGUGCCGCAGUUAACACAAUAAGUAAUCCACCUGGGGAGUACGACCGCAAGGUUGAAACUCAAAGGAAUUGACGGGGGCCCGCACAAGCAGUGGAGUAUGUGGUUUAAUUCGACGCAACGCGAAGAACCUUACCAAGUCUUGACAUCCUGUGACAGACGUAGAAAUACGUUCUUCCUUCGGGACACAGAGACAGGUGGUGCAUGGUUGUCGUCAGCUCGUGUCGUGAGAUGUUGGGUUAAGUCCCGCAACGAGCGCAACCCUUAUGGUCAGUUACUACGCAAGAGGACUCUGGCUAGACUGCCGUUGACAAAACGGAGGAAGGUGGGGAUGACGUCAAAUCAUCAUGCCCUUUAUGACUUGGGCUACACACGUACUACAAUGGCGUUAAACAAAGAGAAGCAAGACCGCGAGGUGGAGCAAAACUCAGAAACAACGUCCCAGUUCGGACUGCAGGCUGCAACUCGCCUGCACGAAGUCGGAAUUGCUAGUAAUCGUGGAUCAGCAUGCCACGGUGAAUACGUUCCCGGGCCUUGUACACACCGCCCG